GAAUCAACGCUGGCGGCGUGCCUCAGACAUGCAAGUCGAACGAUUAAGACUUCCUUCGGGAAGUGUAUAAAGUGGCGCACGGGUGAGUAACACGUAAGUAAUCUGCCUUCGAGUGGGAUACCUUCGGGAACCGAAGAUAAUACCGCAUAAUGCAGCGGCACCGCAAGGUGACAGUUGUUAAAGGAGCAAUCCGCUUGAAGAGGAGCUUGCGGCAGAUUAGCAGUUGGUAAGGUAACGGCUUACCAAGCUACGAUCUGUAUCCGGUCUAAGAGGGAC
rnacentral:rRNA from 1 species